GACGAACGCUGGCGGCGCGCUUAACACAUGCAAGUCGAACGGAAAGGCCCUGCUUUCGUGGGGUGCUCGAGUGGCGAACGGGUGAGUAACACGUGAGUAACCUUCCCUCGACUUUGGGAUAACUUCUGGAAACUGGGGCUAAUACCGGAUAGGAGCUCCUGCUGCAUGGUGGGGGUUGGACAGUUUCGGAGGUUGGGGAUGGACUCGCGGCUAAUCAGCUUGCUGGUGGGGUAGUGGCUUACCAAGGCAUUGACGGGUAGACGGCCUGAGAGGGUGACCGGCCACAUUGGGACUGAGAUACGGCCCAGACUCCUACGGGAGGCAGCAGUGAGGAAUAUAGCACAAUGGGCGGAAGACAGAUGCAGCAACGCCGCGUGCGGGAUGACGGCCUGCGGGUUGUAAACCGCUUUCGCCUGUGACGAAGCGAGAGUGACUGUAAUGUGUAAAGAAGCACCGGCUAACUACGUG
rnacentral:rRNA from 1 species